GAAAAUUCCAUCCCUGUUUUCUCAAAGUCAAGGGUGGAUAGUCUCAGCUGUCAAGGUCUCCAAGAUCGCCUCCGCCCGAGGGCUCCCACCCUGUCUUCUCUCUAGGAGUCUGGGAGAACAAGGUAUUAACAGAACGCGGCCACUCUAGCCCACCUCGGAGGUCCAAGUCUCGUUUGCCCAGAAAGUUAACUCCUCAUGCUCUUCAAGCUGAACCAAAGUGGUAAAUCCUCGGCCCUUUCUCACUUAGCCAGGGAAGGCUCCCUCGCCCACCCCCUCUUCAUUUCCCUCAAACACUCAUGACCACGCGGAGCUUCCUCCCCUCUCUGCGCCCUCCUAGGAGAACGCAGUUUUCAUUCGCGUUGUUCCAAAGCCCCAAAACCGGAACAAGGAGGGCUACGGCCUCACCUUCCAGCCAGGAUGUGUCAUUUCCGGUGCCAGGCUCCCUCCCCCGGAAGUGAGACCUGAUGUAAACAAGGGAGCCGGGUGUCAAGGCCCUGGAGGUCAGAAAGCUGUGCCGCGGGCGGCACCCAGACCUGGGCCUAGGAUCGGGAGGCGGGAGCGGAGGUCAGGGAAGCAAUCCUGAAUCAUGACUCAGCAACCACUUCGAGGGGUGACCAGCCUGCGUUUCAACCAAGACCAAAGCUGCUUUUGCUGUGCCAUGGAGACAGGCGUACGCAUCUACAACGUGGAACCAUUGAUGGAGAAGGGGCACCUGGACCAUGAGCAGGUGGGCAGCAUGGGCCUGGUGGAAAUGCUGUACCGCUCCAACCUGCUGGCCCUGGUGGGUGGUGGUAGCAGUCCCAAGUUCUCAGAGAUCUCAGCAGUGCUGAUCUGGGAUGAUGCCCGGGAGGGCAAGGACUCCAAGGACAAGCUGGUGCUGGAGUUCACCUUCACCAAGGCAGUGCUGGCUGUGCGCAUGCGCCAUGACAAAAUUGUGAUUGUGCUGAAAAACCGCAUCUAUGUAUACUCCUUCCCUGACAAUCCCCGGAAGCUGUUUGAGUUCGACACCCGGGACAACCCAAAGGGGCUCUGUGACCUCUGCCCCAGCCUGGAAAAACAGCUGCUAGUGUUCCCAGGACACAAGUGCGGGAGUCUGCAACUUGUGGACCUGGCAAGCACAAAGCCAGGCACUUCAUCUGCGCCAUUUACCAUCAACGCACAUCAGAGCGACGUGGCCUGUGUGUCCCUGAACCAGCCAGGCACCGUAGUGGCCUCGGCCUCUCAGAAGGGCACCCUUAUUCGCCUUUUUGACACACAGUCCAAGGAAAAACUGGUGGAACUACGCCGAGGCACUGAUCCUGCCACCCUCUACUGCAUCAACUUCAGCCAUGACUCUUCCUUCCUGUGCGCUUCCAGUGAUAAGGGCACGGUCCAUAUCUUUGCCCUCAAGGAUACCCGCCUCAACCGCCGCUCUGCCUCGAGUGGGCAAAGUCGGGCCUAUGAUUGGACAAUAUGUGGACUCUCAGUGGAGCCUGGCGAGUUUCACAGUGCCUGCUGAAUCGGCCUGCAUCUGCGCCUUCGGUCGCAACACUUCCAAGAACGUCAACUCUGUCAUUGCCAUCUGUGUAGAUGGGACCUUCCACAAAUAUGUCUUCACUCCUGAUGGAAACUGCAACAGAGAGGCUUUCGAUGUGUACCUUGACAUCUGUGAUGAUGAUGACUUUUAAGGACCCCGUGGGUUGUGCUAGGGACCUGCAGUGGCAAAGUGCAAAGCAUUUAUGGGAGUGGGAGUGCUGAAAGCCACCAGCCAGCAAGCACUAAUGGGGCAGGUGCACACUUUCCACUCCUCAGAGCAAUGCCUAAACAGCUCAUUUCUCCCAAGUACUUCUUGUGUCCUUAAGGACUGUGUGCCCACAGGGCCAGGCCAGGGACCCAGAGGGGCAGCAGAUGCCCUGGGGCUCCCAACCUGGAGAAGAGUACUAGGGCCCCAGAGGAAGUGCCCUAAUCCAACCUGUGGGGAUAAAAAAAUUUUCCCAGAAAGAGCCAAUCACUGAUAUGAUGAAUUUGAAUAAAAAUUAAUAGUA